AGUGAACGCUGGCGGUAGGCCUAACACAUGCAAGUCGAACGGCAGCACAGUAAGAGCUUGCUCUUACGGGUGGCGAGUGGCGGACGGGUGAGGAAUACAUCGGAAUCUACUUUUUCGCGGGUGAUAACGUAGGGAAACUUACGCUAAUACCGCAUACGACCUACUGGUGAAAGCAGGGGAUCUUCGGACCUUGCGCGAUUGAAUGAGCCGAUGUCGGAUUAGCUAGUUGGCGGGGUAAAGGCCCACCAAGGCGACGAUCCGUAGCUGGUCCGAGAGGAUGAUGGCCCACAGUAGGUCUGAGACACCGUCCCGUGGCGUAGGGGAGGCCGAAGUCUGGCAUAAUCGCACAUGCGCGCAAGCCUGAUCCAGCGCUACCGCGUGAGUGGAGAAGCCUCAGGCGUUGUAGAGCCCUUUUGUUGGGAACAGAGAGCAAGAUCUCAAUCCCGCACUGUUCUGACGGUAGCCAGAGAAUAAGCACCGGCUAACUUCGUG
rnacentral:rRNA from 1 species